rfam:Schistosoma haematobium scaffold944_7, whole genome shotgun sequence.
AUCCAGCUGACGAGUCCGAAACAAGACAAAACACGUGUCCUGGUU